rnacentral:rRNA from 1 species
AGUGGCAGACGGGUGAGUAACAUGUAGGUAUCUACCCUUUGGCCUGGAAUAACACGAGGAAACUUGUGCUAAUACCGGAUAAGUCUUUACGGAGAAAGCUUUAUGCACCGAUGGAUGAGCCUGCACUUGAUUAGUUUGUUGGUAGGGUAAUGGCCUACCAAGACUGUGAUCAAUAGCUGAUUUGAGAGGAUGAUCAGCCACAUUGGGACUGAGACACGGCCCAAACUCCUACGGGAGGCAGCAGUGGGGAAUCUUGCACAAUGGAGGAAACUCUGAUGCAGCGAUGCCGCGUGAGUGAAGAAGGCCCUUGGGUUGUAAAGCUCUUUCGUCGGGGAAGAAAAUGACUGUACCCGAAUAAGAAGGUCCGGCUAACUUCGUGCCAGCAGCCGCGGUAAUACGAAGGGACCUAGCGUAGUUCGGAAUUACUGGGCUUAAAGAGUUCGUAGGUGGUUGAAAAAGUUGGUGGUGAAAUCCCAGAGCUUAACUCUGGAACCGCCAUCAAAACUUUUCAGCUAGAGUUUGAUAGAGGAAAGCAGAAUUUCUAGUGUAGAGGUGAAAUUCGUAGAUAUUAGAAAGAAUACCAAUUGCGAAGGCAGCUUUCCGGAUCAUUACUGACACUGAGGAACGAAAGCAUGGGUAGCGAAGAGGAUUAGAUACCCUCGUAGUCCAUGCCGUAAACGAUGUGUGUUAGACGUUGGAAAUUUAUUUUCAGUGUCGCAGCGAAAGCGAUA